UUCGACACACUAUCAUUAACUGAAUCCAUAGGUUAAUGAGGCGAACCGGGGGAACUGAAACAUCUAAGUACCCCGAGGAAAAGAAAUCAACCGAGAUUCCCCCAGUAGCGGCGAGCGAACGGGGAGGAGCCCAGAGCCUGAAUCAGUGUGUGUGUUAGUGGAAGCGUCUGGAAAGGCGCGCGAUACAGGGUGACAGCCCCGUACACAAAAAUGCACAUAUUGUGAGCUCGAUGAGUAGGGCGGGACACGUGGUAUCCUGUCUGAAUAUGGGGGGACCAUCCUCCAAGGCUAAAUACUCCUGACUGACCGAUAGUGAACCAGUACCGUGAGGGAAAGGCGAAAAGAACCCCGGCGAGGGGAGUGAAAAAGAACCUGAAACCGUGUACGUACAAGCAGUGGGAGCCUCUUAAUGGGGUGACUGCGUACCUUUUGUAUAAUGGGUCAGCGACUUAUAUUCUGUAGCAAGGUUAACCGAAUAGGGGAGCCGAAGGGAAACCGAGUCUUAACUGGGCGUUAAGUUGCAGGGUAUAGACCCGAAACCCGGUGAUCUAGCCAUGGGCAGGUUGAAGGUUGGGUAACACUAACUGGAGGACCGAACCGACUAAUGUUGAAAAAUUAGCGGAUGACUUGUGGCUGGGGGUGAAAGGCCAAUCAAACCGGGAGAUAGCUGGUUCUCCCCGAAAGCUAUUUAGGUAGCGCCUCGUGAAUUCAUCUCCGGGGGUAGAGCACUGUUUCGGCAAGGGGGUCAUCCCGACUUACCAACCCGAUGCAAACUGCGAAUA
rnacentral:rRNA from 1 species